rnacentral:lncRNA from 1 species
UAAUAAAAUACAUUUAAUAUAUAAGAAACUUCAAAUUACAUUUUACUUAUUAAAGACAUGUUAGUGUGAAAACUAUUGUUGAUCAUAGAUACAACUGUAAUUUAUUGCAUACAUUUAUAAGAAAAGGAAAUGUUAAAUUUAAUUAGCAGUCAGUGCAAAAUAAAGAUAAUGAAUUGAUUUUUUCUCAUGCAAACUCAUGAACUAUAACUAUAACCAUUGGGACAGUCCACAGAUCCCUUGGAGGUUCCAUGGAACUCUGGUUAAGAAUCCCUGCUAUAGAUAUGAUGUGUAAUUAUAUAAAUGGCAAGCGCUGUCGGCAGGAAGGGGUUUUUUAUUUAUGUAAAGUGUUUUUGAUUUCUCUUAUAGAUUCCUUUCAGUACAACAAUAAUCACAUAGCUGCUACAGAGCAUAUUAAUCCAAAGAUGUAUAAAAUACAAAGGGUUAGUUAUGUAUAAGUGGGUUUUCUUUUAGACAU